rnacentral:rRNA from 1 species
UGGGGAAUAUUGCACAAUGGGCGCAAGCCUGAUGCAGCCAUGCCGCGUGUGUGAAGAAGGCCUUCGGGUUGUAAAGCACUUUCAGCGAGGAGGAAGGUGGUGAGCUUAAUACGCUCAUCAAUUGACGUUACUCGCAGAAGAAGCACCGGCUAACUCCGUGCCAGCAGCCGCGGUAAUACGGAGGGUGCAAGCGUUAAUCGGAAUUACUGGGCGUAAAGCGCACGCAGGCGGUUUGUUAAGUCAGAUGUGAAAUCCCCGGGCUCAACCUGGGAACUGCAUUUGAAACUGGCAAGCUAGAGUCUCGUAGAGGGGGGUAGAAUUCCAGGUGUAGCGGUGAAAUGCGUAGAGAUCUGGAGGAAUACCGGUGGCGAAGGCGGCCCCCUGGACGAAGACUGACGCUCAGGUGCGAAAGCGUGGGGCAGCAAACAGGAUUAGAUACCCUGGUAGUCCACGCUGUAAACGAUGUCGAUUUGGAGGUUGUGCCCUUGAGGCGUGGCUUCCGGAGCUAACGCGUUAAAUCGACCG